rnacentral:rRNA from 1 species
AGAGUUUGAUCCUGGCUCAGGACGAACGCUGGCGGCGUGCCUAACACAUGCAAGUCGAACGGGGUAAUUUCCUUCGGGAGAUUACUUAGUGGCGAACGGGUGAGUAACGCGUGAGGAACCUGCCUUUCAGUGGGGGACAACAGUUGGAAACGACUGCUAAUACCGCAUAACAUGUACGGAUCGCAUGGUCUGUACAUCAAAGCUUAAAAUGCUGAAAGAUGGCCUCGCGUCUGAUUAGCUAGUUGGUGGGGUAACGGCCUACCAAGGCGACGAUCAGUAGCCGACCUGAGAGGGUGAUCGGCCACAUUGGAACUGAGACACGGUCCAAACUCCUACGGGAGGCAGCAGUGGGGAAUAUUGCACAAUGGGCGAAAGCCUGAUGCAGCAACGCCGCGUGAAGGAAGAAGGUCUUCGGAUCGUAAACUUCUGUCCUUAGGGAAGAUAAUGACGGUACCUUUGGAGGAAGCCCCGGCUAACUACGUGCCAGCAGCCGCGGUAAUACGUAGGGGGCAAGCGUUAUCCGGAAUUAUUGGGCGUAAAGAGUGCGUAGGUGGUUACCUAAGCAGGGGGUGAAAGGCAAUGGCUCAACCAUUGUUAGCCCCCUGAACUGGGCUACUUGAGUGCAGGAGAGGAAAGCGGAAUUCCUAGUGUAGCGGUGAAAUGCGUAGAUAUUAGGAGGAACACCAGUGGCGAAGGCGGCUUUCUGGACUGUUACUGACACUGAGGCACGAAAGUGUGGGGAGCAAACAGGAUUAGAUACCCUGGUAGUCCACACCGUAAACGAUGAGCACUAGGUGUCGGGGUCGCAAGGCUUCGGUGCCGCAGUUAACGCAUUAAGUGCUCCGCCUGGGGAGUACGUACGCAAGUAUGAAACUCAAAGGAAUUGACGGGGACCCGCACAAGCAGCGGAGCAUGUGGUUUAAUUCGAAGCAACGCGAAGAACCUUACCAGGACUUGACAUCCCGAUGACCGGUUCUUAACCGAACCUUCUCUUCGGAGCAUCGGUGACAGGUGGUGCAUGGUUGUCGUCAGCUCGUGUCGUGAGAUGUUGGGUUAAGUCCCGCAACGAGCGCAACCCUUGCCAUUAGUUGCCAUCAUUAAGUUGGGCACUCUAGUGGGACUGCCGGGGAUAACUCGGAGGAAGGUGGGGAUGACGUCAAAUCAUCAUGCCCCUUAUGUUCUGGGCUACACACGUGCUACAAUGGUCGGUACAAAGAGCAGCAAUCUCGUGAGAAGGAGCAAAUCUCAAAAGCCGAUCCCAGUUCGGAUUGUAGGCUGCAACUCGCCUACAUGAAGUUGGAGUUGCUAGUAAUCGCGGAUCAGAAUGCCGCGGUGAAUGCGUACGCGGGUCUUGCACAUACCGCCCGUCA